CCUCUGCCCCCCGGGCCCGUGCCCGCCGGAGACCCCAACACGAACACUGUCUGAAAGCGUGCAGUCUGAGUUGAUUGAAUGCAAUCAGUUAAAACUUUCAACAAUGGAUCUCUUGGUUCCGGCAUCGAUGAAGAACGCAGCGAAAUGCGAUAACUAAUGUGAAUUGCAGAAUUCAGUGAAUCAUCGAGUCUUUGAACGCACAUUGCGCCCCCUGGUAUUCCGGGGGGCAUGCCUGUCCGAGCGUCAUUGCUGCCCUCAAGCCCGGCUUGUGUGUUGGGUCGCCGUCCCCCUCUCCGGGGGGACGGGCCCGAAAGGCAGCGGCGGCACCGCGUCCGAUCCUCGAGCGUAUGGGGCUUUGUCACAUGCUCUGUAGGAUUGGCCGGCGCCUGCCGACGUUUUCCAACCAUUCUUUCCAGGUUGACCUCGGAUCAGGUAGGGAUACCCGCUGAACUUAAGCAUAUCAAUAAGCGGAGGAAAAGAAACCAACCGGGAUUGCCUCAGUAACGGCGAGUGAAGCGGCAAGAGCUCAAAUUUGAAAGCUGGCUCCUUCGGAGUCCGCAUUGUAAUUUGCAGAGGAUGCUUUGGGUGCGGCCCCCGUCUAAGUGCCCUGGAACGGGCCGUCAGAGAGGGUGAGAAUCCCGUCUUGGGCGGGGUGUCCGUGCCCGUGUAAAGCUCCUUCGACGAGUCGAGUUGUUUGGGAAUGCAGCU
rnacentral:rRNA from 1 species